UCCAACGUAGCUCAGUGGUAGAGCAAUCGGCUGUUAACCGAUUGGUCGUAGGUUCGAAUCCUACCGUUGGAG
rnacentral:tRNA from 2 species